rnacentral:tRNA from 2 species
ACCCACGUGGUGAAAUAGGUAGACACGCCACCUUGAGGGGGUGGUAUCCAAUUCAGGAUAUGCUGGUUCGAAUCCAGUCGUGGGUA